UACGGAGGGCGCAAGCGUUGUUCGGAAUUACUGGGCGUAAAGGGCUCGUAGGCGGCCAACUAAGUCGGACGUGAAAUCCCCAGGCUCAACCUGGGAACUGCGUCCGAUACUGGAUGGCUUGAAUCCGGGAGAGGGAUGCAGAAUUCCAGGUGUAGCGGUGAAAUGCGUAGAUAUCUGGAGGAAUACCGGUGGCGAAGGCGGCAUCCUGGACCGGCAUUGACGCUGAGGAGCGAAAGCCAGGGGAGCAAACGGG
rnacentral:rRNA from 1 species